GGGUUGUGAGGUUAAGCGACUAAGCGUACACGGUGGAUGCCCUGGCAGUCAGAGGCGAUGAAGGACGUGCUAAUCUGCGAAAAGCGUCGGUAAGGUGAUAUGAACCGUUAUAGCCGGCGAUGUCCGAAUGGGGAAACCCAGUGCAAUUCGUUGCACUAUCGUUAACUGAAUACAUAGGUUAACGAGGCGAACCGGGGGAACUGAAACAUCUAAGUACCCCGAGGAAAAGAAAUCAACCGAGAUUCCCCCAGUAGCGGCGAGCGAACGGGGAGCAGCCCGGAGUCUGAAUCAGCUUGUGUGUUAGUGGAAGCGUCUGGAAAGUCGCAGGGUACAGGGUGAUACUCCCGUACACUAAAACACACAGGCUGUGAACUCGAAGAGUAGGGCGGGACACGUGGUAUCCUGUCUGAAUAUGGGGGGACCAUCCUCCAAGGCUAAAUACUCCUGACUGACCGAUAGUGAACCAGUACCGUGAGGGAAAGGCGAAAAGAACCCCGGCGAGGGGAGUGAAAAAGAACCUGAAACCGUGUACGUACAAGCAGUAGGAGCCCACUUGUUGGGUGACUGCGUACCUUUUGUAUAAUGGGUCAGCGACUUAUAUUCUGUAGCAAGGUUAACCGUAUAGGGGAGCCGCAGGGAAACCGAGUCUUAACUGGGCGUUAAGUUGCAGGGUAUAGACCCGAAACCCGGUGAUCUAGCCAUGGGCAGGUUGAAGGUUGGGUAACACUAACUGGAGGACCGAACCGACUAAUGUUGAAAAAUUAGCGGAUGACUUGUGGCUGGGGGUGAAAGGCCAAUCAAACCGGGAGAUAGCUGGUUCUCCCCGAAAGCUAUUUAGGUAGCGCCUCGUGAAUUCAUCUUCGGGGGUAGAGCACUGUUUCGGCUAGGGGGUCAUCCCGACUUACCAACCCGAUGCAAACUACGAAUACCGAAGAAUGUUAUCACGGGAGACACACGGCGGGUGCUAACGUCCGUCGUGAAGAGGGAAACAACCCAGACCGCCAGCUAAGGUCCCAAAGUCAUGGUUAAGUGGGAAACGAUGUGGGAAGGCCCAGACAGCCAGGAUGUUGGCUUAGAAGCAGCCAUCAUUUAAAGAAAGCGUAAUAGCUCACUGGUCGAGUCGGCCUGCGCGGAAGAUGUAACGGGGCUAAACCAUGCACCGAAGCUGCGGCAGCGACACUAUGUGUUGUUGGGUAGGGGAGCGUUCUGUAAGCCGUUGAAGGUGGCCUGUGAGGGUUGCUGGAGGUAUCAGAAGUGCGAAUGCUGACAUAAGUAACGAUAAUGCGGGUGAAAAACCCGCACGCCGGAAGACCAAGGGUUCCUGUCCAACGUUAAUCGGGGCAGGGUGAGUCGACCCCUAAGGCGAGGCCGAAAGGCGUAGUCGAUGGGAAACAGGUUAAUAUUCCUGUACUUGGUGUUACUGCGAAGGGGGGACGGAGAAGGCUAUGUUGGCCGGGCGACGGUUGUCCCGGUUUAAGCAUGUAGGCGGAUGUUCCAGGUAAAUCCGGAACGUCACUAACGCUGAGGUGUGAUGACGAGGCACUACGGUGCUGAAGUGACAAAUGCCCUGCUUCCAGGAAAAGCCUCUAAGCAUCAGGUAACAUCAAAUCGUACCCCAAACCGACACAGGUGGUCAGGUAGAGAAUACCAAGGCGCUUGAGAGAACUCGGGUGAAGGAACUAGGCAAAAUGGUGCCGUAACUUCGGGAGAAGGCACGCUGAUGGUAAGUGAAGUGACUUGCUCAUGGAGCUGAAAUCAGUCGAAGAUACCAGCUGGCUGCAACUGUUUAUUAAAAACACAGCACUGUGCAAACACGAAAGUGGACGUAUACGGUGUGACGCCUGCCCGGUGCCGGAAGGUUAAUUGAUGGGGUUAUCCUCGCGGAGAAGCUCUUGAUCGAAGCCCCGGUAAACGGCGGCCGUAACUAUAACGGUCCUAAGGUAGCGAAAUUCCUUGUCGGGUAAGUUCCGACCUGCACGAAUGGCGUAAUGAUGGCCAGGCUGUCUCCACCCGAGACUCAGUGAAAUUGAACUCGCUGUGAAGAUGCAGUGUACCCGCGGCAAGACGGAAAGACCCCGUGAACCUUUACUAUAGCUUGACACUGAACACUGGUCCUUGAUGUGUAGGAUAGGUGGGAGGCUUUGAAGUGUGGACGCCAGUCUGCAUGGAGCCAUCCUUGAAAUACCACCCUUUAAUGGCUGGUGUUCUAACGUGGGCCCGUAAUCCGGGUUGCGGACAGUGUCUGGUGGGUAGUUUGACUGGGGCGGUCUCCUCCUAAAGAGUAACGGAGGAGCACGAAGGUCAGCUAAUCCUGGUCGGACAUCAGGAGGUUAGUGCAAUGGCAUAAGCUGGCUUGACUGCGAGCGUGACGGCGCGAGCAGGUGCGAAAGCAGGUCAUAGUGAUCCGGUGGUUCUGAAUGGAAGGGCCAUCGCUCAACGGAUAAAAGGUACUCCGGGGAUAACAGGCUGAUACCGCCCAAGAGUUCAUAUCGACGGCGGUGUUUGGCACCUCGAUGUCGGCUCAUCACAUCCUGGGGCUGAAGUAGGUCCCAAGGGUAUGGCUGUUCGCCAUUUAAAGUGGUACGCGAGCUGGGUUUAGAACGUCGUGAGACAGUUCGGUCCCUAUCUGCCGUGGGCGCUGGAGAAUUGAGGGGGGCUGCUCCUAGUACGAGAGGACCGGAGUGGACGCAUCACUGGUGUUCGGGUUGUCAUGCCAAUGGCAUUGCCCGGUAGCUAAAUGCGGAAGAGAUAAGUGCUGAAAGCAUCUAAGCACGAAACUUGCCCCGAGAUGAGUUCUCCCUGACCCUUUAAGGGUCCUGAAGGAACGUUGAAGACGACGACGUUGAUAGGCCGGGUGUGUAAGCGCAGCGAUGCGUUGAGCUAACCGGUACUAAUGAACCGUGAGGCUUAACCUUACAACGCCGAAG
rnacentral:rRNA from 1 species